rnacentral:misc_RNA from 1 species
AAGUCGUAACAAGGUUUCCGUAGGUGAACCUGCGGAAGGAUCAUUACAACGUAUCCACGUACAAACCAGUGAACUGUUCCCAACGGAGUGAGAUACAAAAGCAAUUUUGUAUGCGAGGUUGAUGGCAUGUCUGGUUCCUGCUGAUGGAGUUUCUGGGCUUUUGCCUCGAAACUAGGACCUGGCAUACCGCGAAAGCUUCUGGCUUUCGGACCUCAAGCUCUUCCGUUCGGUUGUUUACCGUCAGCUUGUUAAACCCUUUAUUAACCGUAUGUACCAUUUGAUCUGAUCUAUUCUGCCUGACGAUGUGUUCUUGUUGGCUUCAAGUCACGAACCGUCUCAGCAGGAGUUUGAUACGAAACAAAGAACAACUCUUAACAACGGAUAUCUUGGUUCCC